UAGCUGGAGCUCGGACGC
rnacentral:snRNA from 1 species